rnacentral:rRNA from 1 species
CGUUUCCUCGGCGGGCUUGCCUGCCGGUUGGACAACUUUAUAACCUUUUUAAAUCUUCAAUCAGCGUCUGAAUAAUAUACAAUAAUUACAACUUUCAACAACGGAUCUCUUGGUUCUGGCAUCGAUGAAGAACGCAGCGAAAUGCGAUAAGUAGUGUGAAUUGCAGAAUUCAGUGAAUCAUCGAAUCUUUGAACGCACAUUGCGCCCCUUGGUAUUCCAUGGGGCAUGCCUGUUCGAGCGUCAUUUGUACCUUCAAGCUUUGCUUGGUGUUGGGUGCUUGUCUUUUUGUUAAGACUCACCUCAAAGUCAUUGGCAGCCAGUGUUUUGGUAGUAAGCGCAGCACAUUUUGCGUCUUGGUUCCCUCAACAGCGGCAUCCAUCAAGCUAUUUUCUCACUUUUGACCUCGGAUCAGGUAGGGAUACCCGCUGAACUUAAGCAUAUCAAUAAGCGGAGGAAAAGAAACCAACAGGGAUUGCCCUAGUAACGGCGAGUGAAGCGGCAACAGCUCAAAUUUGAAAUCUGGCUCUUUCAGGGUCCGAGUUGUAAUUUGCAGAGGGCGCUUUGGCGUUGGCAGCGGUCCAAGUUCUUUGGAACAGGACGUCACAGAGGGUGAGAAUCCCGUACGUGGUCGCUAGCCUUCGCCGUGUAAAGCCCCUUCGACGAGUCGAGUUGUUUGGGAAUGCAGCUCUAAAUGGGAGGUAAAUUUCUUCUAAAGCUAAAUACUGGCCAGAGACCGAUAGCGCACAAGUAGAGUGAUCGAAAGAUGAAAAGCACUUUGGAAAGAGAGUCAAAUAGCACGUGAAAUUGUUGAAAGGGAAGCGCUUGCAGCCAGACUUGCCUGUAGUUGCUUAUCUGGACUUUUGUCCGGUGCACUCUUCUGCGGGCAGGCCAGCAUCAGUUUGGGCGGUUGGAUAAAGGUCUCUGUCAUGU